AAAAGUGAACAAAUUAAAGGUAAAAUGGUAAUUUUAUAUUUUGAAAUAAAAUAAAAAAAUGUUAUGUUAACGGAAGUUGGUAAAAAUAACGGUGAGAUGAAAAAAAUAUUAUAUUUAGAGGGAUAUUUGUAAAAUUUAAAAAAUUAAAAGAAUAUUUAUGAUAUUACAUAAUUUUGUGAGGGUAUAAAUAAAAUUAACCCUAUUAUUAUUAUUAUUAUUAUUAUUAUUAUUAUUAGUAUUAUUUUUCUAGAUGAGGAUUCCACAUAGGAGGCAUAAAUGGGGGAGGGGGCCGGGGUUGAUUGGAUUUAAUGCAACGGGAAACGAACCUGCGUUUGUUUGCGUGGCUGGAAAGAGAAGACCGACCGACCGACCGAUCCAUGCGUACGUCUCUGACUUCCCAAUCCAAAGAGAUUGAGUCCGCUGCCUGCUGGACUACUGAUUUGAUGCAUGACGCCCAUGAUUCGCAUUUUUGACAGUCUGAACUUCCGUUCCUUACUUAUCUUGUCUUCCAAGGGCAGCUGUGACAUCCGCAGAAGCGCCGAAAGCCGGACGAGACAUAUCUAACGUUAAUAGAUAAAAUAAAAUUAAAAUUAAAAAGUCGACACACACACACACACACACGUACAAAUCAAGUUACUGGGUAAGAACAAAUUUAAAAGAGAUGCGUGCAUAUAUAGAUGACGACUAUAUAAGUAUGUGCCAAAAUAAAGUCGGUUCGGGUGAUGGAUUUUCGGCAGAAGAACUCUAUCACGGCAUUGUCAAAUAAAAGGAAUUAAGUUUUGAUAUUUCUGCUACGGUGAGGAAUAGGUUGGCCCAGAUUGCGUUAAUUUGAAGUUAUAAGAAAUUUGAUAUUCGAGUGGUUGUGCACUGAAGAGAUCAUAGAUUUAAUCUCUUACUCCUUUCGAAAACAUAGAUUUAACUUUUAUUUAUAUAACUAAAAUUAAUUAUUAUGCUAGGCAUCACAUGGAAUUAAAACUAGUAUUUUAUAUUUGUAGACUCUCUCUNUGUACCGUGCCCCCUUCUUGAGGGCACGGUACGGCACGCCCCGUGCCGUACGGCACGGAGUGACACUUAAAACCUUGGUUAGUACUCUGUGAUUUUGUUUUUGUAUCAAGUUAGUACCCUGUGGUUUAUUUUUAUAUCAAGUUAGUACUCUAUAAUUUUUAAACCACAAGGUACUAAAGUGAGAAAGUGUGAAACCAUACGGUACUAAAGUGAGAAAGUGCGAAACCAUAUGGUACUAACUUGAUACACUUUAAACCACAGGGUACUAAAAUAAAAAGUGCAAAACCACAUAGUACUAACUUGAUAAUACAUUAAACCACAUGCUAUUAAAGUAAGAAAAAGUAAAAUCACAUGCGAGUAUUCGAAGUUUUUCUAAUAAAAUAUUAUUCAAAAACGUCAUUUAAAAAAUAUUUUAUUGUAAUGGCCCGCAGUUUUGGAACUGAACUAAAUAUUUAACAAUGCAAGAUGACUUUACCUCCUGAGUUGCAAUCAAGUAUAAUAAUAUUCGUACGGCCGGGUUUUACUUGUUUUUUUUCCUGUUAUAUUAUGCGUCCCUUGGGCACAAAACACGAGGACAUCAUGUAUCGUCGUCGUUUUCGUUUCUUCAUGAUGAUGAUGAUAAUAAUAAUAAUAAUAAUAAUAAUCAUAAUAAUAACAAAGCUUCGAAAACCAUGCACUAUGGAAAGAGUCAAAAAAUUUAAAGAAAAAGAACCUCUCAAAGCGAUAACCUUUUGCCCCUUCGCUCUCCCCAAACGUUGCACACUCUCUCUCUCUCUCUCUCUCUCUCUCUCUCUCUCUCUCUCUCCUUUUAGUUAGUGUCGUGUGGCUUUUGUGUUCUUCCUCUUCUUGUGUGGAUGGGGAUGUUAUUAUUAUGGGAAAGUUCUAAUUUCAUGAAUGUCCUUCAAAAUUUUAAAAUUUUAUACUUGUCCUCUUGAAGUAUGAAAAAAUUUUAAAAAUAUUCUUACUGCUAGCAAUAUGUUAUAUUAGCUUCAAAAUACCAAUUUUAAUCUCUAUUUUAAUUUAAUCACCACUCUCACAAAUUUUUUUUUGAAUAUAUGGAGACCCCCUCAAUUACCAUCCAUUGUGAAAUAGCCUCCUAAAUUUAACUUUUUAAUUAAAGUCUUCUUAAAUUUUAUUUUCUUAAAUUGAAUGAUUUUUUUUAUUAAAUUAGAGAUUUUAUCUAAUCCAUUAAUGAUUCAAACAAAUUUAAUAAUUUUAAUAACUUCGUAGUAUAUAAAAUUAAAUAAGUUUCUGUUCAAAAAAGAAAUUAAUAAAAACUUCAAGGAUUUACUUAAAUGACAUAUAGUUGAUAGUUUUAGUAUAAAUAUCAAAAAAUAAGUGAAAACAGCUUGGUUUUUAAACAAAAAGUGAACAAAUUAAAGGUAAAAUGGUAAUUUUAUAUUUUGAAAUAAAAUAAAAAAAUGUUAUGUUAACGGAAGUUGGUAAAAAUAACGGUGAGAUGAAAAAAAUAUUAUAUUUAGAGGGAUAUUUGUAAAAUUUAAAAAAUUAAAAGAAUAUUUAUGAUAUUACAUAAUUUUGUGAGGGUAUAAAUAAAAUUAACCCUAUUAUUAUUAUUAUUAUUAUUAUUAU
rnacentral:lncRNA from 1 species